CGCGCCCACACACACACACGCACGGACACACACACACAUGGACACACACACAUGGGGACACACACACGGACACGGGACACACACACAUGGGGACACACACACAGGGGGACACACGGACACACACACACACGGACACACACACACAUGGGGGGACACACGCACACAUGGGGGGGACAUGGGGACACACACACAGACACACACACACACAUGGGGACACACACGCGGGGACACACACACACACAUGGACACACACACACAUGGACACACACACACAUGGACACACACACACAUGGACACACACACACAUGGACACACACACACAUGGACACACACACACAUGGACACACACACACGGGGACACACACGUGGGGACACACACACACACAUGGACACACACACACAUGGACACACACACAUGGGGACACACACACGGACACGGGACACACACACACAUGGGGACACACAUACACACGGGACACACACACACACGCACACCAGGGACACACACACGGGACACACACACACGGGAUACACACACACGCACAGGGACGGACACACACACACACAUGGGGACGGACACACACACACGGGGGACACACACACACAUGAGACACACACACACCAGGGACACACACACAAACCAGAGACACGCACACACGCAUGGGGAUACACACACACACACACGGACACACACACACGGGGGGACACACACACGGGGUGGGGGGGACACACAGAGGGGACACACACACACAUACACACAUGGGGAUACACGGACACAUGGGACACACACACAUGCAGUGUGGGGACACACGCACACGGGGACACACACACACACACAUGGGGACACACAUGGGGACAUACACACACAUGGGACACACACACACACACAGGAGGGGGACACACACGAACACACACAUACACACACACACAACACACAUGGGGGGGACACAUGCACGGGGCACACACACACACAUGCACGGGGACACACACACGGGACACACACACACACACACAUAGAGACAACAAGGGACACACACACGCACAGGGGGACACACACACACGGGGGGACACACACACAUGGGGACAGACACACACAUGGGGACACAUACACACACACAGGGACACAAACACACACAUGGGACACACACACACGGACACACCACACACACACAUGGGAGGGGGACACACACAUACACACACAUGACACACAUGGUGGGGGACACAUGCAUGGGGCGCACACACACAUGCACGGGGACACACACAUGGGGGGACACACACACGCAUGGGAACACACACAUGGACACACACACAUGGACACACACACAUGGACACACACACGCACAGGGACACACACACAUGGGGACACACACACAUGGGGACACACACACACACACACGGGGACACACACACACAUGGUGACACACACACAUGGGACACACA
rnacentral:lncRNA from 1 species